GAUGAACGCUGGCGGCGUGCCUAAUACAUGCAAGUCGAGCGAACGGACGAGAAGCUUGCUUCUCUGAUGUUAGCGGCGGACGGGUGAGUAACACGUGGAUAACCUACCUAUAAGACUGGGAUAACUUCGGGAAACCGGAGCUAAUACCGGAUAAUAUUUUGAACCGCAUGGUUCAAAAGGGAAAGACGGUCUUGCUGUCACUUAUAGAUGGAUCCGCGCUGCAUUAGCUAGUUGGUAAGGUAACGGCUUACCAAGGCAACGAUGCAUAGCCGACCUGAGAGGGUGAUCGGCCACACUGGAACUGAGACACGGUCCAGACUCCUACGGGAGGCAGCAGUAGGGAAUCUUCCGCAAUGGGCGAAAGCCUGACGGAGCAACGCCGCGUGAGUGAUGAAGGUCUUCGGAUCGUAAAACUCUGUUAUUAGGGAAGAACAUAUGUGUAAGUAACUGUGCACAUCUUGACGGUACCUAAUCAGAAAGCCACGGCUAACUACGUGCCAGCAGCCGCGGUAAUACGUAGGUGGCAAGCGUUAUCCGGAAUUAUUGGGCGUAAAGCGCGCGUAGGCGGUUUUUUAAGUCUGAUGUGAAAGCCCACGGCUCAACCGUGGAGGGUCAUUGGAAACUGGAGAACUUGAGUGCAGAAGAGGAAAGUGGAAUUCCAUGUGUAGCGGUGAAAUGCGCAGAGAUAUGGAGGAACACCAGUGGCGAAGGCGACUUUCUGGUCUGUAACUGACGCUGAUGUGCGAAAGCGUGGGGAUCAAACAGGAUUAGAUACCCUGGUAGUCCACGCCGUAAACGAUGAGUGCUAAGUGUUAGGGGGUUUCCGCCCCUUAGUGCUGCAGCUAACGCAUUAAGCACUCCGCCUGGGGAGUACGACCGCAAGGUUGAAACUCAAAGGAAUUGACGGGGACCCGCACAAGCGGUGGAGCAUGUGGUUUAAUUCGAAGCAACGCGAAGAACCUUACCAAAUCUUGACAUCCUUUGACAACUCUAGAGAUAGAGCCUUCCCCUUCGGGGGACAAAGUGACAGGUGGUGCAUGGUUGUCGUCAGCUCGUGUCGUGAGAUGUUGGGUUAAGUCCCGCAACGAGCGCAACCCUUAAGCUUAGUUGCCAUCAUUAAGUUGGGCACUCUAAGUUGACUGCCGGUGACAAACCGGAGGAAGGUGGGGAUGACGUCAAAUCAUCAUGCCCCUUAUGAUUUGGGCUACACACGUGCUACAAUGGACAAUACAAAGGGCAGCGAAACCGCGAGGUCAAGCAAAUCCCAUAAAGUUGUUCUCAGUUCGGAUUGUAGUCUGCAACUCGACUACAUGAAGCUGGAAUCGCUAGUAAUCGUAGAUCAGCAUGCUACGGUGAAUACGUUCCCGGGUCU
rnacentral:rRNA from 1 species